CGGGGUCCGGAGUCUGUCGCGCGCCCUUCCUGUAGAGGGCGUGAGGAAAGUCCGGGCAACACAGAGCACCAUGCUCCCCUCGGGGAGCCGGCGGAAACGUCGGAGCAGAGUGACAGAAAACAACCGCCGCCCCUCCCGGGGCGGCAAGGGUGAAAAGGCGGGGUAAGAGCCCACCGGGCGUGACAGCGAUAUCACGUGCCGCAUUCCUCAUGGGUUGCAAGGUCAAGUAUACCGGCAUUUAAGGGUUGCUCGCCCAUUGCCGGGGGGUAGACUGCGCAGAUAAAUGACAGACAGGCAAGGCACCGUCGGCUCGCGCCGAUACAUGCCCCCUACAUAACCCGGCUUAUACCGGACCCCCGGAA
rnacentral:RNase_P_RNA from 1 species